rnacentral:rRNA from 1 species
AACGUAGGUGGCGAGCGUUAUCCGGAAUUACUGGGCGUAAAGCGUGCGUAGACGGUUAUUUAAGUCGGGUGUGAAAGCCCCGGGCUCAACCUGGGAAUUGCAUUCGAGACUGAAUAGCUAGGGUACGGUAGAGGGAAGUGGAAUUUCCGGUGUAGCGGUGAAAUGCGUAGAUAUCGGAAGGAACAUCAGUGGCGAAAGCGACUUCCUGGACCAGUACCGACGUUCAGGCACGAAAGCGUGGGGAGCAAACAGG